rnacentral:rRNA from 1 species
UACGUAGGGUGCAAGCGUUGUCCGGAAUUAUUGGGCGUAAAGAGCUCGUAGGCGGUUUGUCGCGUCUGCUGUGAAAACGCGGGGCUCAAUUCCGCGCCUGCAGUGGGUACGGGCAGACUAGAGUGCAGUAGGGGAGACUGGAAUUCCUGGUGUAGCGGUGGAAUGCGCAGAUAUCAGGAGGAACACCGGUGGCGAAGGCGGGUCUCUGGGCUGUAAACUGACGCUGGAGGAGCGAAAGCAUGGGGAGCGAACAGGAUUAG